AGGAAUCAGGUCAGUGUUGUUCGGGAGUGUCUGGUAGCUGGGACUACCAGGAGCUGUGAUUUCACUGCGAUUGCUGCUGCUGCCAUUGGUCACUGACCUUCCUUAUUACACCAAUCAAAAUAAAAGAAGCUAGCCUAAGCUAUGAACUACGAAUUACAAGAAUCCUAUCUAAAAAUCUUCAAACUUGGUCUUGCACUUCCUUGUUGUCUUGUAUUCUCUCUUGUUGUAACUCAUUGUUGUUACUUCAAAUUGUGCACCGAGAUGUUGUUCUUUCCUUCCAAAUUGCUGAACUUGAAUAAAAUUGAACUUGAAUGUAUUCCUAUGUUCUUCAGGCGGGCUCCUGACUUCACAAAAAUAGACAAAACAAAGAAAACUUUUUGCCCCAGUUUGGAAAACUGGGGUUUAUUAUCGGAUACUAAUACGAAUUUGAAAACUAAAACUUGAAUUGUAAUACCUCUGUUCUUCAGGCGGGCUCCUGACUUCAAAACUUGAAUGUAUUCCUCUGUUCUCCAGGCGGGCUCCUGACUUCAUAAAAAUAGGCAGGUGGGCUCCUGACUUCAAAACUUGAAUGCUGACUUCAAAACUUGAAUGUAUUCCUCUGUUUUCCAGGCGGGCUCCUGACUUCACAAAAAUAGGCAAAACAAAGAAAACUUUCUACCCCAGUCUGAAAAACUAGGGUUUGU
rnacentral:lncRNA from 1 species